AACAUGCUCCUCUAGAGAACACAUUUGAACUUUCUUCCUACUGAAAAGCGCGUUUACUCACAUCAUCCAUGUAUUCCCAGGAGAACGUGGUUCCAAGAUGGUGGCCACUGAGUAAUUCUGGAGGUGACCUGUCUCUCAAUCCCCUGGCCGGCUGCCUUUCCUGCCCACCAACAGAGAAAGAGUGGUUUGUGCUUCCUACGAGAUGCUGAGAGAGGGAAGCAAGAAAAUGUCUCCAUGGACAUAGCAAUUUGGAGCGCUUAACCUUCAAUUAGAAACCCUGCUUCAGCAUCCUCCCCAGGAGAAAUGUCAGCAAGGAAUUCCUUACACACCUUCUCACAGAAAACACUGGGACGUGGGCUGCUUUAACUGUCCACUUCUAACCCUUGGACGUGUACAAACCCAGCAACUGAUAUUUGAGGAAAAGUGUGCUGGCUCCUGUCCUAGAUCAACUCAGAAAGUAAAACACACGGGAUGUGCCUGGACCAUCCGUCAGUGUGAGACCUGCAGUGACCACUUCCACUGGCUGCACACACCUGGAGAGAGGCUGCGGUGCCCCAACUGUAAGUUUUCUCAUCAGCAAACAGGAAAG
rnacentral:lncRNA from 1 species